AUUGAACGCUGGCGGCAGGCUUAACACAUGCAAGUCGAGCGGAGAUGAGGUGCUUGCACCUUAUCUUAGCGGCGGACGGGUGAGUAGUGCUUAGGAAUCUGCCUAUUAGUGGGGGACAACAUUCCGAAAGGAAUGCUAAUACCGCAUACGUCCUACGGGAGAAAGCAGGGGAUCUUCGGACCUUGCGCUAAUAGAUGAGCCUAAGUCGGAUUAGCUAGUUGGUGGGGUAAAGGCCUACCAAGGCGACGAUCUGUAGCGGGUCUGAGAGGAUGAUCCGCCACACUGGGACUGAGACACGGCCCAGACUCCUACGGGAGGCAGCAGUGGGGAAUAUUGGACAAUGGGGGGAACCCUGAUCCAGCCAUGCCGCGUGUGUGAAGAAGGCCUUAUGGUUGUAAAGCACUUUAAGCGAGGAGGAGGCUACUGAGACUAAUACUCUUGGAUAGGGGACGUACUCGCAGAUAGC
rnacentral:rRNA from 1 species